GAUAAACGCUAGCGGCAGGCUUAACACAUGCAAGUCGAGGGGCAGCAUAGAUUGUAGCAAUACAAUUGGUGGCGACCGGCGCACGGGUGCGUAACGCGUAUGCAACCUACCCGUCACAGGGGGAUAAUCCGGAGAAAUCUGGUCUAAUACCCCAUAACAUAUGGAUCGGCAUCGGUUCAUGUUGAAAUUUUCGGAGGUGACGGACGGGCAUGCGUAGCAUUAGCUUGUUGGUGAGGUAACGGCUCACCAAGGCGAAGAUGCUUAGGGGGGCUGAGAGGUUUUCCCCCCACACUGGUACUGAGACACGGACCAGACUCCUACGGGAGGCAGCAGUGAGGAAUAUUGGUCAAUGGGCGCAAGCCUGAACCAGCCAUGCCGCGUGCAGGAUGACGGCUCUAUGAGUUGUAAACUGCUUUUGUACGAGGGUAAAGUGGGUUACGUGUAACCUUUUGAAAGUAUCGUACGAAUAAGGAUCGGCUAACUCCGUGCCAGCCGCCGCCGUAA
rnacentral:rRNA from 1 species